rnacentral:rRNA from 1 species
UACGUAGGGUGCGAGCGUUGUCCGGAAUUAUUGGGCGUAAAGGGCUCGUAGGCGGUCUGUCGCGUCGGGAGUGAAAACUCAGGGCUUAACCCUGAGCCUGCUUCCGAUACGGGCAGGCUAGAGUUCGGUAGGGGAGACUGGAAUUCCUGGUGUAGCGGUGAAAUGCGCAGAUAUCAGGAGGAACACCGGUGGCGAAGGCGGUUCUCUGGGCCUUACCUGACGCUGAGGAGCGAAAGCGUGGGGAGCGAACAGG